UACAUGGGGUGCAAACGUUGCUCGGAAUUAUUGGGCGUAAAGCGCGCGUAGGCGGUUAUCUAAGUCGGAUGUGAAAGCCCUCGGCUUAACUGAGGAAGUGCACCCGAAACUGGGUAGCUAGAGUACGAAAGAGGGUCGCGGAAUUCCCGGUGUAGAGGUGAAAUUCGUAGAUAUCGGGAGGAACACCGGUGGCGAAGGCGGCGACCUGGGUCGAGACUGACGCUGAGGCGCGAAAGCGUGGGGAGCAAACAGG
rnacentral:rRNA from 1 species